GAUGAACGCUGGCGGCGUGCCUAAUACAUGCCAGUCGAGCGAACAGAUAAGGAGCUUGCUCCUUUGACGUUAGCGGCGGACGGGUGAGUAACACGUGGGUAACCUAUCUAUAAGACUGGAAUAACUCCGGGAAACCGGGGCUAAUGCCGGAUAACAUGUUGAACCGCAUGGUUCUACAGUGAAAGGCGGCUUUGCUGUCACUUAUAGAUGGACCCGCGCCGUAUUAGCUAGUUGGUGAGGUAACGGCUCACCAAGGCAACGAUGCGUAGCCGACCUGAGAGGGUGAUCGGCCACACUGGAACUGAGACACGGUCCAGACUCCUACGGGAGGCAGCAGUAGGGAAUCUUCCGCAAUGGGCGAAAGCCUGACGGAGCAACGCCGCGUGAGUGAUGAAGGUCUUCGGAUCGUAAAACUCUGUUAUUAGGGAAGAACAAAUGCGUAAGUAACUGUGCGCGUCUUGACGGUACCUAAUCAGAAAGCCACGGCUAACUACGUG
rnacentral:rRNA from 1 species